GACAGCCGGGACUCUAGCGGUAGUACCGGCCGGCUCCCACCGAGCCUCUCUCAGCGCCUCCCUCAGCCGCCGCCUCCGGUGCCACCUCAGCCGCUCUGUCCUGUUCCUCACUCCCGCCGAGCCUGGCCAGGCAGAAAAAUACGUGUAUAUAUAUCUCUGAUUUUUCUUCUUUGCAUACCUGCUACUGCAGCUACUCCGCCUUACACCUCUGCCCAGCCGUCUGAGGCUUCCUGUGGGCGGGCAGAAGUGCCCCGGCCCAAACAAGUUCAAAUAACUUUGUUCCCUGACCUCCGCUUUUCCUUAGCUCUUCUGAUUUCCUGUAUUCACUUUUCCCGUAUUCACUCCUGUGCUCCCUCUCCCCAGCCGGGGAUGGGCAGUGGGCGAAGCUUGCUGCUGUAUCUCCAGGUGUGUGCCAAGAGUUUUCAGUUCCUCCUCCCUCCGAGCUCUGCAUUUCCUCACCACAGGAAGCUGCUUUGCUAAGGACCAGCUUACACUGACCUAUCAUGGCAUCCAACAAAUUUGUCAUUAAGUGUGGGAACUUUGCUGUCUUGGUGGAUGUUCAUAUUUUGCCUCAAGGCUCCAGUAAAGACACCAGCUGGUUUUCAGAUCAUGAGAAAGAGGAGGUCUGCAAGCUGCUGGAAGAAGUUGUUGCCUCAAGGGUCAAACACUACUUGGAGGCACCUAAGCAGCGUGGUCAGUGGAAGCCCACGGAACAGGGAUCAUCUGGGCCUUUGUUUCUUACCGCCAACAGUUUGCACAUUACUGCCUACUUUAUGAAGAGAUGGGUUAAUCUCCGUUGUGCUCUAGGGAAACGUUAUCGUGAGCUCCGUGUGUUUCCAGAGAAAUUUAUCGUUUGUGUCAGUAAACUCGACUUUGAUCCAAGUGCUUGGACAUGUGACAAUGGUGGAUUGAAAGAAGAACUUUCCAAUGGGACAUCUGAAUAUUUUACUGAACGGACAUCUGAAUAUUUUACUGAAUCUGCUGAGAACAAGAAGCUUAAGAUUAGUCUGAGUGAACAAAUAAAGCAAGACAUCCUGAGAAAAAUUGUGAAGAGGACAAAACCGAGGAGAAGUAGUGCAAGCAAACCUCAAAUCAGCAAGAACUCCAAGAAAGCGUGUCUUGGCUGGGCAGACUUGCAGACAGAGAACAGAAACAGCGACUGUGAGACUUCUGUCAGUGCUCGGUCUGCUGUGAAGCGCAGGAGCCCAGGCCUGCUGAAGGACUGCACAAACACAGCUGAGAGCAGCCUGGGCCUUCCUGUGCUAGAGCAGAGAAAGGAUGUUCAUCGGGGACAGCCAGAGGAGGUUCACAGGCAGCACAAACCUCGCUCUCUGCAGGGGCCAGAGGCGAGGCUGCUCAGUGAGUGCCCUCCGUGCAGCUCUGAGUCAGCACCACUGGCUCCUAAACAAAGCCAGAGAGUGACCAGAGCACAGGCUCAGCUCCAGACCUGUGGUUCACAGGAAAAGUUGGAGCAUUUCACAAAAGUGUCCUCUGAAGGGACUCCUUUAAGUUCCAUCAAUACGGAAAUGAGUGAGCAUGGUGAUGAUAAUUGUUUGGGUCCAUUCCUGGAGGAGACGACACCUCUUAAUUCCAGGUCGUUUUCAAAGCAAGAUGUGACAGAGACUAUGGUUGACAAGAAGUCACUGACUUUGAGGAAAAAACCCUCCUGUUCUCUUUCUGUGAGUAGCAGUGGAGUGCAGACAAGCCAAAAUGAGCCAAGCACAGCCCCUGAAGAGCUACCUGCAGUGCCAACAUCAAGUCUAGAGGUGCACCCUGUGUCUUCAGAGAAGCUUUCCCAAAAAAGAAAAAUAGAAGCAGAAAAUGGUCUUGGGAAGUUAAAACUGCGAAGGCUUAAGAAGUCAAAAUCUGAAAUAAUGCCUUGAUAGCAUGGGUGGUCAGCCAAGGUUGUGCCUAAGCAAAGAGCAAGAAGCAAUUCAAAAUGAUGGAAAACAAUAGAAAUACAAAAUCAAAAUUAGAGAACACAUUAAGAAAAUUUAGUUAGCUAAGGAUCUUAGUCAUUUGGCACUGUAAUACAGGUAAUCCUUUUAAGUCUUUAGGAAUUAGCCAUGAUUAUUACACAAGUCAGCAUCAGAUUUAUAGAAAGAAAAAUCUCUUAUAAAAUAAUAUUUACUAAGCAAAAUUUUAGAUUUAUACAUAUUUAGUGCUAUUAAAGUCAUAUCAGCUGCUGACAGCAAAAGUUAAAACUCCUGGUGUGAUCUGUUAGCAGCUGCAGUUAUUUGCUAUCUUGCUUGUUUCUGAGCAUGUAGUUUAUUUUAGUAAAAAAUUAACCCUUUCUCUAUAUUAGAAAGUUUGUGGUUUACUUACAUGAUCUUUACAGCAAUAAAGCAAAUUAAGUUUAUUUCAAAUAACUCUUUAACCAGGAUUAAUAGCUGAUGAUUUGAGGCUCACUUUUUCAGAGAAGUUUCAAAAUAACUAUAGUUUCUGCCUGUGUAGUUUUGAUAUGAACAUUUAAUUCUAGCCCAUGUUGUGGAUGCAAGUCAUCAUGCAUUCAAUCUUGGGGAAAAAUAAAGGUUUCUUUUAUAUAUUUAGAUUUAUAUAUUUACACCUGGAUUGCAAACACUGUUCUUGGAUGAAGUUCAUAUAUAAACAUGUAUGCAUAAUUUCAUGGAUACAUGUUUCAAAAUGAGGCCUUGCUUGUGUGCAAGGGCAACACACUGGUUUUCAUGUGGAAGUAAUACCAGAGUUAAAUCUCAUUUUAAGAUAAAUUUUAAUUUCACAGUGCUUGUUCAUACUGCUUCUUAAAUUUAAGUGCUAAUGAGCUAAGGAAAUGUACCUUUUUUAUUUCAUGCUUAUCUUUUAAAAUGUGUAGAAUAAAUGUAUAAGCCAUUUUCUUUCAUCAUUCUCAAGCUCAGUGUGACACAGCCCCUGAGGCAGCCGGAGGGCCAGCCAUGUCCUUGGCAUGCAGCAGGCCCAGGAGGGCCCUGUCCCACUCUGCCCUGGCCUCGAGGGCUGGGGACAGCUGUGGGCACUGGAAUGUAACAAAGAUAGAAAGGGGUUUGAGAACUUCCAGAGGAGUGCACGAGGAUGGUGAAGGCCUUGAGGGGAAGCCCUGUGAGGAGCAGCACUGGUCUGUUCAGCCUGGAGGAGCCUGUGGGGACACCUCACUGCAGCUGCAGCUUCCUGCUCUUUGGGUGAUGUUUCUCAGUGCUUUGCAGUCAGGUUGCAAAUCCUUACCCAGCUCCAGGCUCUGCUAAAAAGCUCUUUCCCAGUACCAGCAAAACCAAGGCUGCAAAGAACCUGGUUUGGAGGAAGAAGAGCCUGAGGUGAAUUUUCCACCCGCCUGGCUCUUGCACUUCCCGUGAGGACCACAAACAUUGGAAGAGAUGUAGCGAACACCUUCGGGUGUGCUGUUGGAAGCCACUGCCACAGUGCAGCUGUCAAUUACUGCAGGAAAGCAGAGACCAGCAUGAGAAUUACCCCUGCAACCCGAUUCCUCAAGAGCAACAUUUUCACUUCCAGCCACAGAUGUUUAGAAGACACUCGUGCCAUUGAGUCAUUUAGGUUGGAAAAGACCUUUAAGAUCAUUGAGUGAAACCAUAAACAUAUGACUACAAAUAUGUUUGCUGCUUUAAAAUAACAUUGGACUCUGCCAACUGUGCAUAAAAUAAUCACAGCAUCUUAUCUGAUGAUUGCUGGAACACAUCCACAGCCUGGAAUAAAUGCAUCAGGCUUUUUGCUACCUGUGCUUUCUGUCCACAUGGACAUAAUGCUGUCUAUAAUAGCUGAUACUUAAAAGUAUCACUCAUCUUUUCACACGGAGAGAGGCCUAAGGCAGAGGGCAAAAUUCAGCCUCUUAUAGCAGAGCUACUCCAGCGACUCCCCUGCUGGAGCUGCGUCAGGGCCCCAGCGAGGGCAGGGCAGAAACCAUUGGCAGCCACGGCCCUUCACCCCCAAAACAACACAGACCUUCACACGGAGUGGUGCGGCAGUGAUCCUUCAGGUGGGAGCAGUUCUUCCCUUCAUAAUCCUCGGGGCAGUUACAGAAAUAGUCCAUGGCAAGAUUGAAGCACUGGGCACCGUUCUGGCACGGAUUUGGCUCGCAAUAAUCUAUGUCCAGCUGUAAGUAGUGCACAGAGAGGGAAGGGAAAUGGGAAG